rnacentral:rRNA from 1 species
UACGGGGGGUGCAAGCGUUAAUCGGAAUUACUGGGCGUAAAGGGUGCGUAGGUUGUUGUAUAAGUUAGUUGUGAAAUACCUGUGCUUAACGUGGGGGUGUCAACUAGUACUGUAUGACUUGAGUAAAGCAGAGGGUGGUGGAAUUUCCGGUGUAGCGGUGAAAUGCGUAGAGAUCGGAAGGAACAUCGGUGGCGAAGGCGACCACCUGGGCUAUUACUGACACUGAGGCACGAAAGCGUGGGUAGCAAACAGGAUUAGAUACCCUGGUAGUCCACGCUGUAAACGAUGUCAACUAGCUGUCUGAUACAUUAGAUAUUGGGUAGCGCAGCCAACGCGAUAAGUUGACCGCCUGGGGAGUACGGUCGCAAGAUUAAA